ensembl:lncRNA
AGAGGAACAUUGCUGUAAUGUUGCUUUAAUGUUGUAUGUAGGUUCUGCUUCAGUACUAGAAGAUGGAGGAGAGGAACAUUGCUGUAACGUUUCUGUAACUUUGUGUGGGUUCUGCCUCAGUACUAGAAGAUGGAGGAGAGGAACAUAGCUGUAACGUUGCUGUAAUGUUGUGUAUAGGUUCUGCUUCAGUACUAGAAGAUGGAGGAGAGGAACAUUGCUGUAACGUUGCUGUAACUUUGUGUGUAGGUUCUGCCUUAGUACUAGACGAUGAAGGAGAGGAACAUUGCUGUAACGUUGUGUGUAGGUUCUGCUUCAGUACUAGAAGAUGGAGGAGAGGAACAUUGCUGUAACGUUGCUGUAACUUUGUGUGUAGGUUCUGCCUUAGUACUAGAGGAUGGAGGAGAGGAACAUUGCUGUAACUUUGUGUGUAGGUUCUGCCUUAGUACUAGAAGAUGGAAGAG